rnacentral:lncRNA from 10 species
GAUUUCCUCCCGGCCCCCGCCCUCCCACAGCCCUUUGCAGGACGUGCAACAGGGUUGUGGCUCGUGUGUUCGGUCUCUGCCUGCUGAAACCCCUUAUGGGAGGUGGAGCAUGCAGACGGACGGGUGCAGGAGCCAGGGUGCAAAAGCUGGGGCGCUGGGCUUCCAGCCCCACGGCAGUGUCCAGGGGCAGGAUCCCGUGAUUCCCGGAGCCCAAAUGGGCGUGUGUUACAGUGUGCUCUUUUAGCCUUACCAUCAGCUGACGGCUUAAGUGUUAACCAGCUCAAUAGACCCUCUGCCUUUUUGCAAGCGCAGAGGGUCAGUGUGACAGUUUCUGUAUCUCAGCUCUUGUCUCACCUCCCAGAAGAAUCAGGUCACACAUGGACUUGAAGGAUGAACACCAGAGACUGGGUAAUUAAUAAAAAGAAGAAAUUGAUCUGGCCUACAGUUCUGGAGCCUUGGAAGUCCGAGAUCAAGGAGCUGCAUCUGAUAAAUACCUGGAGUGGGAUUGCUAGAUCACAUGGAAAACACAGAUCCUGGUGCCGAACAUGAGGACAGGGCAGGCCGAAGGAGAAAGUG